GUAUAUAGUUUUACGAUUCGAGGUUGUCUUAUAUUCAUAGUGUCGUGUUAUGUGUUUCUAUUAUUUAUUAUCUGUCCACAUCUUACGCGUUUUGGUCGUUUUGUGUGAUGUUUUAUAUUUUCUUUGUGAAUACGGUAUUAAUUCGUAGUAAAUUCUAAUGCGCGGUUGUGCGUGGUAGUUCGAUAUUGUAGAUUGAAUAAAUUAUUCUUAGUAUAUAUUUUAUUUAUUUUAAGUUUGUUCGGUAUUUUAGUGGUUCCUUAUGGUAUUUCAUCCAUUUGAUCGUCUUUAUGUUAUGUUGGUUAUGGACAUGGAAGUACCUGCAUUUGUCCAACCUGUACAACGCAAGAGGAGGAGAGAUUCCAAAAAUGUGUAGGCGGCUCGUGAAGACGAUACAGAUGAAUGUGCGAAGGCUCACUUCCCUGAGGAGACUUCUGUCGGAGUCCUGGAUGUUCUCCUGUGUCACUGUUCUUGUGGUCAGAGCGAUCUUCUCUGCUGUAUGCUCCCAGUACAUGGAGAGACUUCGUGAGAUGUGUCUUGACAUUAUUUUAUUCAUUUGGUUGUGGUGAUUAUGAUUUUAAAUGGUGAAUACAGAGGUGUCCUCGUCAAAGGUUCCUUAUGCAGACUGUCCCACGCAAGAGGAAGACGGGUUCCAAAAUAUGUGAGUGGUCCCAGAAGGUGCAGGCAAGAACGAAGAAUCGUGUGACAUUUGUGUUGAUUAUGUUCGUUGCUGAUAUAUAUAUAUAUAUAUAUAUAUAUAUAUAUAUAU